AAUAGAUACCCCGGUAGUCCACGCCGUAAACGGUGGGUACUAGGUGUGGGUUUCCUUCCUUGGGAUCCGUGCCGUAGCUAACGCAUUAAGUACCCCGCCUGGGGAGUACGGCCGCAAGGCUAAAACUCAAAGGAAUUGACGGGGGGCCCGCACAAGCGGCGGAGCAUGUGGAUUAAUUCGAUGCAACGCGAAGAACCUUACCUGGGUUUGACAUGCACAGGACGCUGGUAGAGAUAUCAGUUCCCUUGUGGUCUGUGUGCAGGUGGUGCACGGCUGUCGUCAGCUCGUGUCGUGAGAUGUUGGGUUAAGUCCCGCAACGAGCGCAACCCUUGUCUUAUGUUGCCAGCACGUGAUGGUGGGGACUCGUGAGAGACUGCCGGGGUCAACUCGGAGGAAGGUGGGGAUGACGUCAAGUCAUCAUGCCCCUUAUGUCCAGGGCUUCACACAUGCUACAAUGGCCGGUACAAAGGGCUGCGAUGCCGUGAGGUUAAGCGAAUCCUUUAAAGCCGGUCUCAGUUCGGAUCGGGGUCUGCAACUCCG
rnacentral:rRNA from 1 species